UCCGUAGGUGGAUCAAUCAGUCAGAGGUGAAAUCCUGCAGCUUAACUGUAGAACUGCCUUUGAUACUGUUGAUCUUGAGUCAUUAUGAAGUGGUUAGAAUGUGUAGUGUAGCGGUGAAAUGCAUAGAUAUUACACAGAAUACCGAUUGCGAAGGCAGAUCACUAAUAAUGCACUGACACUGAGGUACGAAAGCGUGGGGAGCAAACAGGAUUAGAUACCCUGGUAGUCC
rnacentral:rRNA from 1 species